GCUGCUCAAAUAUGCUACCCCUCCGCAGUGAGCAGCAGGUAACGGGAUCCACUCCCGGCUAUGGCACAG
rnacentral:ribozyme from 1 species